GGGAUAUGAAAAGGGCUAUAUAUACAUUAGAUAUAAUUGCAGUAUGAGCUGUGUCUGUGAAGGUUUUGUUUUAAUUUCUGGCUUCUUAAUUAAUUAAGAGUCUAAUAUGUGCUAUGAUGCUGACGAUUUUAUCAGUGUCAGUCAGCCUCGCAACUUGACGUUGCCGACAACUAACCAUUAAAAUUCUUGCCAUUUAUGUCACAUAGCUAGAAUCGGAAAAUGAGUUGACAAUGGUCAAUUGCUACUGCUCGUAGUUUUUACAAAUUUAAUUUGACAAAGAUAGUUGAACCAUCG
rnacentral:misc_RNA from 1 species